ACAGGGAUUGCCCUAGUAACGGCGAGUGAAGCGGCAACAGCUCAAAUUUGAAAUCUGGCGUCUUUGGCGUCCGAGUUGUAAUUUGCAGAGGGCGCUUUGGCAUUGGCAGCGGUCCAAGUUCCUUGGAACAGGACGUCACAGAGGGUGAGAAUCCCGUACGUGGUCGCUAGCCUCUACCGUGUAAAGCCCCUUCGACGAGUCGAGUUGUUUGGGAAUGCAGCUCUAAAUGGGAGGUAAAUUUCUUCUAAAGCUAAAUACUGGCCAGAGACCGAUAGCGCACAAGUAGAGUGAUCGAAAGAUGAAAAGCACUUUGGAAAGAGAGUUAAAAAGCACGUGAAAUUGUUGAAAGGGAAGCGCUUGCAGCCAGACUUGCCUGUAGUUGCUCAUCUAGGUUUCUACCUAGUGCACUCUUCUAUAGGCAGGCCAGCAUCAGUUUGGGCGGUUGGAUAAAGGUCUCUGUCAUGUACCUCUCUUCGGGGAGAACUUAUAGGGGAGACGACAUGCAACCAGCCUGGACUGAGGUCCGCGCAUCUGCUAGGAUGCUGGCGUAAUGGCUGUAAGCGGCCCGUCUUGAAACACGGACCAAGGAGUCUAACAUCUAUGCGAGUGUUUGGGUGUCAAGCCCGAGCGCGUAAUGAAAGUGAACGGAGGUGGGAACCUUUCGGGGUGCACCAUCGACCGAUCCUGAUGUCUUCGGAUGGAUUUGAGUAAGAGCAUAGCUGUUGGGACCCGAAAGAUGGUGAACUAUGCUUGAAUAGGGUGAAGCCAGAGGAAACUCUGGUGGAGGCUCGCAGCGGUUCUGACGUGCAAAUCGAUCGUCAAAUUUGGGCAUAGGGGCGAAAGACUAAUCGAACUAUCUAGUAGCUGGUUCCUGCC
rnacentral:rRNA from 1 species